CGCAUCUUUCCAGCAAGGAGCUGAUACCCCACACCUCCUAAUCAGCAAGCUGCACUCAUAGCCUUUUUCCCAUAGAGACAGCAAUCUGGGAGUACCCACUGCCUUGCACCCAGCAGUUCUCCAUGGGACAAGCUGUACCUAACUGUGUAUGGGCAGUGGGAGCAGGCAGCAGUUCACAGUCUCAUCUAAUCCUAGGUUUUAUUGUUACCUUUGUUUCCCAGAGGAGGUUGCACAGAUAGGAAAUUGUAACAUCAGGAUGCAGCCAGAGCCGGUGGGAUCCAGAAUACAGGCUCUUCCUCCAGCUCUGGGCAACCCCACUCAUCACUCUGAGCCCUAGCUGUCUGUUCCUUUGAAGCCUCACUGCCACUGACUCCUCUUUAAAGCCCAUUUUUAUUUGUUGUGAGUGUUUGGGUUUUGCACCCCUAGCUAGACUAUAAAUGCUAUGAAGGCAGAGAGUGUGCCUUACAGAGCUGGGGUUUAUAAUCAGGGCUCAAUGAAAUCUGGUCAAGGAAUUAUAGAAUGGACCUGUCUAAACACCAACAGUGCUGCUCCCCAGAGACCCGGGUUUCUGCAAGAAAUUCAGAGGCAAGUUUUUAUUCCCUCUGAGAAAACCCUAGCGGCUCCCACGGGCUUCCUCCCUCAGGUGCUCAACAUCUGCUCAACAAUCCUGGUUCUGGCCAGGAGCUUCUGGUGAGCUCCACGACAGCUGCAGAGGGAGGAGGGAGCAAGAAGAAAAGUAGAUGGGCAAGGAAACACCCACCUCAUCCACCAGGUGAAGUUUCCAGCAACCAUUUUGUUCUACAAGACUCUACCUAGAGGCAAAUUUUCCAUGAAGCUGACAAACCAAAGGCUUCAAGGCUCCUCACUUGCCCAGACUCCAGGCCCAAGGAAGGCAACAGCUAUGUGUUUACAUGGCUAUUUUUUUUUUUUGUAAAAAUUUGUAAAAGAAGCUAUCUUAACCACAAUUGGUUAAAAUAAACCCCUGUAUCUUUCUACCUUGAUUUCCCCUCCUGAAGCUUUAGAGUGGCUGGAGGCAACAGGAGGUCCAGCUAAGGGGGAGUUGAGGUGUAGAUACACUACUUUUGGGGAAAUCACCUGAGGUCAGGAGUUCAAGACCCACCUGGACAACAUGGCAAAACCCUGUCUCUCCUAAAAAUACAAAAAUUAGCCAGGUGUGGUGGUGGGCGCCUGUAAUCCCACCUACUUGGGAGGCUGAGGCAGGAGAAUUGCUUGAACCCGAGAGGCAGCUGUGGCAGUGCGCUGAGAUCACGCCACUGCACUCUAGCCUAGGCGACAGAGUGAGACCAUUCUCAAAAAAAAAAAAAAAAGUGUAGAUACACUACUUUUUUUGUAUUUAUAUGGUUUGUAGACACUUUCAUAUUUAGUUAAAUUAUUGAUAGUCCCCUCAGUGUAGAAUGGCUUCCAGGAGCACUGGUAUCACCCACUGUACCUGGCAUCUUGUUAGAAGUACAAAGCCAGAGUUCAGAUCACCAUACUCAUGUUGCCUGACUCACCUACAUGCAUAUCAGUGGUAGAGGGAAGACAAGGUCUGAAAUGCAGUUUGAAGAUCGUCUAUGGAAACCUCCUCCAACUAUCAGAGUUAACUAAUAUAAAC
rnacentral:lncRNA from 1 species